rnacentral:rRNA from 1 species
GACGAACGCUGGCGGCGUGCCUAAUACAUGCAAGUCGAACGCAGUGGGGACGGGUGCGUAACACGUGGGUAACCUCCCAUCAGACGGGAUAACCCUUGGAAACAGGUGCUAAACCGCUACUGAUGGAUGGACCCGCUGUGCAUUAGCUAGUUGGUGAGGUAACGGCCCACCAAGGCCACGAUGCAUAGCCGGCCUGAGAGGGGGAUCGGCCACACUGGGACUGAGACACGGCCCAGACUCCUACGUGAGGCAGCAGUAGGGAAUAUUCGGCAAUGGACGAAAGUCUGACCGAGCAACGUCGCGUGAGUGAAGAAGGUUUUCGGGUCGUAAAACUCUGUUGUUAGAGAAGCGGUAUCUAAAGAGGAAGCCACGGCUAACUACGUGCCAGCAGCCGCGGUAAUAC